rnacentral:rRNA from 1 species
CAGUCGCCGCGGUAAUACGUAGGGUGCAAGCGUUAAUCGGAAUUACUGGGCGUAAAGCGUGCGCAGGCGGUUUUGUAAGACAGAGGUGAAAUCCCCGGGCUCAACCUGGGAACUGCAUUUGAAACUGGCAGGCUAGAGUCUUGUAGAGGGGGGUAGAAUUCCAGGUGUAGCGGUGAAAUGCGUAGAGAUCUGGAGGAAUACCGGUGGCGAAGGCGGCCCCCUGGACAAAGACUGACGCUCAGGUGCGAAAGCGUGGGGAGCAAACAGGAUUAGAUACCCGAGUAGUCCCUGUCUCUUAUAA